AUGAACGCUAGCUACAGGCUUAACACAUGCAAGUCGAGGGGCAGCAUUUUAGUUUGCUUGCAAACUGAAGAUGGCGACCGGCGCACGGGUGAGUAACACGUAUCCAACCUGCCGAUAACUCCGGGAUAGCCUUUCGAAAGAAAGAUUAAUACCGGAUAGCAUACGAAUAUCGCAUGAUAUUUUUAUUAAAGAAUUUCGGUUAUCGAUGGGGAUGCGUUCCAUUAGUUUGUUGGCGGGGUAACGGCCCACCAAGACUACGAUGGAUAGGGGUUCUGAGAGGAAGGUCCCCCACAUUGGAACUGAGACACGGUCCAAACUCCUACGGGAGGCAGCAGUGAGGAAUAUUGGUCAAUGGGCGCGAGCCUGAACCAGCCAAGUAGCGUGAAGGAUGAAGGCUCUAUGGGUCGUAAACUUCUUUUAUAUGGGAAUAAAGUUUUCCACGUGUGGAAUUUUGUAUGUACCAUAUGAAUAAGGAUCGGCUAACUCCGUGCCAGCAGCCGCGGUAAUACGGAGGAUCCGAGCGUUAUCCGGAUUUAUUGGGUUUAAAGGGAGCGUAGGUGGAUUGUUAAGUCAGUUGUGAAAGUUUGCGGCUCAACCGUAAAAUUGCAGUUGAAACUGGCAGUCUUGAGUACAGUAGAGGUGGGCGGAAUUCGUGGUGUAGCGGUGAAAUGCUUAGAUAUCACGAAGAACUCCGAUUGCGAAGGCAGCUCACUAGACUGUCACUGACACUGAUGCUCGAAAGUGUGGGUAUCAAACAGGAUUAGAUACCCUGGUAGUCCACACAGUAAACGAUGAAUACUCGCUGUUUGCGAUAUACAGUAAGCGGCCAAGCGAAAGCAUUAAGUAUUCCACCUGGGGAGUACGCCGGCAACGGUGAAACUCAAAGGAAUUGACGGGGGCCCGCACAAGCGGAGGAACAUGUGGUUUAAUUCGAUGAUACGCGAGGAACCUUACCCGGGCUUAAAUUGCAACAGAAUAUAUUGGAAACAGUAUAGCCGUAAGGCUGUUGUGAAGGUGCUGCAUGGUUGUCGUCAGCUCGUGCCGUGAGGUGUCGGCUUAAGUGCCAUAACGAGCGCAACCCUUAUCUUUAGUUACUAACAGGUCAUGCUGAGGACUCUAGAGAGACUGCCGUCGUAAGAUGUGAGGAAGGUGGGGAUGACGUCAAAUCAGCACGGCCCUUACGUCCGGGGCUACACACGUGUUACAAUGGGGGGUACAGAAGGCGGCUACCUGGUGACAGGAUGCUAAUCCCAAAAACCUCUCUCAGUUCGGAUCGAAGUCUGCAACCCGACUUCGUGAAGCUGGAUUCGCUAGUAAUCGCGCAUCAGCCAUGGCGCGGUGAAUACGUUCCCGGGCCUUGUACACACCGCCCGUCACACCAUGGGAGUGGGUUGCAAAAGAAGUAGGUAGCUUAACCUUCGGGAGGGCGCUUACCACUUUGUGAUUCAUGACUGGGGUG
rnacentral:rRNA from 1 species